rnacentral:rRNA from 1 species
UACGUAGGGUGCAAGCGUUGUCCGGAAUUAUUGGGCGUAAAGAGCGUGUAGGCGGCCAUACAGGUCAGCUGUGAAACUCGAGGCUCAACCUCGAGACGUCGGUUGAAACCGUAUGGCUAGAGUCCGGAAGAGGAGAGUGGAAUUCCCGGUGUAGCGGUGAAGUGCGCAGAUAUCGGGGAAGAACACCCGUGGCGAAGGCGGCUCUCUGGGACGGUACUGACGCUGAGACGCGAAAGCGUGGGGAGCGAACAGG